rnacentral:rRNA from 1 species
UGAGGAAUAUGACCUUCGGCGGGGGAGUAGCCGGCCCAACGGCCGGGUAAUACCGCGUACGACCUUUUGGGGACAUCCCCGAUUGGUGAAAGCAGCAAUGCGCCGAUGGAGUGCCUCGCGGCCUAUCAGCUAGUUGGUGAGGUAAUAGCUCACCAAGGCGAUGACGGGUAGCCGGCCUGAGAGGGUGACCGGCCACACUGGGACUGAGACACGGCCCAGACUCCUACGGGAGCAGCAGG